GGCAGCCUCACAGGGGACCUCAUCCUUCCCUUGCACAAAACCAUGUGCAAACUACCUUUGGUACUGGACCACCCAGAUGUGAGAUGGGUAAGGCAGUGCCUUACCUGGCAGCAUUUCAUGAUGUGACAUAUCUGUUCUCCAUCGCAAACCUCCCCUAUGCAGCGGCUCAUGACUGGAAUCCUUCCAUCAUUAGAAUACCUGGGAGCAUAGUUCACAAAGCUGUUAUCAUUCCUGUCUCCUUAGUGUGAGUGAGUUUCAGACUCCUUCCAGAGAACUGCCUUUAGAAAGAGAGGGGAGAGGGGGAGUGCUGUCAGUGCACUGGCUCCACUGAGGGGAUGGGAGGGGCUGCCCUGCAGAAGCAGAGGCCAGAACAGGGACCCACUUAGAGUACCCGAUCAACAUUUGCUCCCUCCUUCUAGUAAUCCAAGGCAAACAGCCCUGCUCAGAACUGACAGAGAAUGGGCAGGGAGGUUGGCAAAUGAAUCAAUUCUAUCACAGCCAAGAACCAAGCUGGGUCUGUGCCCCACUGCUUCUGAGAGCCAAAUUCAGAGAGACCGACUUGGGGCAAGAUGGUACAAUAGUGUCGUGUACCAUAGUCUCCUCAUCAUUUUUUGUGACAAUGUGGGUCCCAUAGGAUUUCCGCAGCACUUAGUUCUGCAGGUCUAGGAGUGAGGUCCCCAGAGAAGAGCUCCAUUCCCCACGGCAGAUUCAGGGAGCGACUGCGCACCUGUGUUCCCCGCCGCCUGCCCACCGCUAGCAGCUCUGCACGGCCGCAUUGGCCCGUUUCCCUGCCCGCACUGAUCUCUUUUCCUUUUGACACCACUCUCCCCCUUUCCUCCUGGUUCCCGCCUUCCCUUUAUCUUCCUUCCCCCCGCAUCACAGUUGUGUAGCUCCCACUUCUGCAUUCCCUGCCCCUUCCUCAAGAGCCUGACUUGCCUCACUUCUCGCCUUCCAGCAACCCACUUCUCACUCAACCAGACUCAAAGCCCUCCUGGUUUACUCAGCAGAGUGGCCUCAGCUGUCAUUGGCAAAGUGGGAUCCUCAAGGUUUUUCCUAGAAUGCCCCAACCUGUUUCUUAUUCUAAAGUCCUAAAAACAUUGGCCUCUUUACCUCAGCCUCAGGGACUUGGAGAGAAAGGUAGAAGGACACUUCAGGUGCCACAGCCGUGAGACUCAGCUGCAACGGCUGCUUCGGCCAAGGAAAAGCCACGUGGGGGCCCCCCAGGUGGGCCCUGCAGCAACACCUCAUUAGUGAUGGGCGCUGCUUCCUUCCGGAAUCCUCUUGACCCUGGGCCUGAACGGCGGUCCCUGUUCUUGUGGGACUUCUGAAAAGGCACAAUUUGAAAGUCCCACAUCGGCCUAGACUUUGGGCAUCCUGGAACUGGGGAUCCUCACAUACAUCCUAAAUACUGGAAGGGUCUGAUGGGGAGGGGAAGAAUCCCUCGUACUCAGAGAUGCCAUCCGAGCUAAGGAAACAGGCCUGCUAGGGCAACAGGACAGAAGGCUCAGAGUCUAUCCUUUUUGCCCUCCCGAAGACUCGAAACUACACCUGCCUGGUCCGUUACAGCUGGGGGCCCAGGAUAAACGCGAUGAGCCCCCAGGCUGAGCAUAAGCAAGGACAAGAGUUGGCCUGCGGUCCGUCCAUGUGGACCUGUGGGCAGGAGCUGCCCACACGCUUAGUCGGGGCAUCGAGAGCUCUGCCCACCAAGCCGCCCGUGGCUGAGGGCUUGCAGCCGAGAUGGAAGCUGCUCUUCACCCGUCUGGUCUCCCUCUGUCUCAUGUGUGCAGGGAGAUGCCACGGAUCUGUUUUUAUCAAAUACACAAUUAAAAAGUCACACUAUUAGGAAACUCUGGAGUGUGAACAUACGGGCUUCUCCCAAGACUUAGAAUUUUUCAAAGCUGCUCUGAGAAUGUUUGGGAGUCACGACUCCCCCGUGCAACAGAGGGAAGAGCUGGAGGAUAAAAAGCAAGCAUGCCGACUUUCAACCUAAAAGAGCAGCCACUAGGGUUUGGAGAUUCUGGAGCAGAGAGCCCCACAUUUCUCAGCCCCCCUUUUUUUGGAACACGCAAUCCCAGGCUUGGAAAAUGCCAUUUUGCUGCGUGUUGGCAAGAAAUCCUGCAGCUGAAACACUUCUCUCCAAAUGUCGAGCAUCUUUAUUUAUCCAAAUCUCUCCACAGUGUUUGUUUAAAGGGGAGUGCUAGAGAGUAAACUAAAUUUUACAAUGAGCAUAUGGAUGGCUGUAACUGCUGGGGUUUUUUUUUUUUUUAUUUGCUAACUGGCUAUAUAUAACAUUGUGUUUCUAUUUUAUAGAUUUCACACCCUGAAGGCUGCUAAUUUUUGCAUGCAUAUGAUUUUCACAUGAAUGGAUGAAAAUACUAAAAUACUCUUCCCUCUGGGUUGUCUAAUUGCCCGACCCUACUCAGAGCAGUGGUGGAUGGGGGUGUGGGGAAACCAGCUUCCCUAGAAGCCCAGUCGUCCUCCGCUCAUGAACUGGCACAGUUGUCUUUCAGACCCAUCGAUGCUGGAACUGGUGUCGGAAAGAACCUUAUCUGCUCCCCGGUGUUCUUCAUACCGAUCCAUUUUGCCAAUCUUCUCUUUGAGAAUUUUAAAUAAUGGAAAAGACAUCUGCCUCUGAAUUAGCUGGUAAUGGGGAACACAGAUUGCAGGGAAGGCUGAAAUGUACAGCUCCUCGAGGAAAACAAGUACUUUGGUUUAGCCGUUGGUUUCAACUUCCUCUCCCACCAAACCAUCAACCUCAUUUUUCACUCCGUCCCCGCUCUGGCCCCAAGCGCCCCCUAGUGGAGAUGCGAAGGCGCCAGGAAAUGGCCUGUAGUUUGGGCCGCAGGAUCCUUUCCCUACUUGACAGAUAGAAGAGCUAAGGCCCAAAGAAGGGAACAGCUUCCCAGGGUCACACAGGAAGGCAGUGGCAAGGCUGAGACUCCCCAGUCGCUCAGAACAUAUCCCACUGCUGUUUUUCUCUGCCCUCCCCCGUAGGAUUUCACAGUUCUGUCCGAGUUUCACAGUAGCUGUCAGUUUCCUUCUAUUUCUAUCUUUUUCAUCACUCCAUAGACAGGUAUGAGGUGUGCAGAAGGCCAUGGCUGGGUAUCAUGGGAGAGUCAGAGAAAUCGGAGAGCAUCGUCGCUGUCUGCAAGGCACUUCCAAACUAGUUAAGGAUGUUCAAGAGUUCCACAGGAUGGGGAGGAUGGGGGAGGUGCUGAUGGUGAGCCCUAGCACGACAGAGGAGGCUCAGGGGUGCCUCCCCCUUGGAGGAGGAGGGAUCAGAGCCUGGAGAGAUAGGGAGGGUCCACAUGGUAGAGGGGGCUUCGUGGUUAGAAGGCACGGUAUUGUCCUGGUUAGCGGGAACCCUCAGAGCAGACGUCUCAGCCCUUGCUUCUCAGUGCUUGGAGUUUGAGAGUGUUGACAGGCAUGGCAGGCAUGCAGUGUGCAGUGGAGCACCAGCUCUGGGGUGAGACCCAUGUGGGUUCCUGUCCCAGCUCCGCGUCAGCUGGCUAGCCUUGACAAGUCACUUAGCCUCUGGGAACCCCACUUAAGAACUGGACACCCAGCAGGGUCUUGGACUCAGAAGAGGCUCUUGCCAGGCUGUGGUUUCCCUUUCCUGCUCCUUGUAAUGAAGCAGAAAUGCACCAGGCCCCAGUUCUAGGCACAGGGAGCAAAGCCAAGUCCUGCUCCAAUGAAGCAAACAUUCAACUGGGAGGAGGUGACAAAUACACACAUGUCAGGUGUUGGUGAUGGCUAUGAAGAAAAAUAAAGCAGAGAAAAGGGAUGGGGUGGAAAAAUCCUGUUCACAUACAAUGAACAGAAAGUCCUUUCCAAGGAGACAGUAGAGCCAGAGACAUGACAGCAGGCAGAGAGUGAGCCAUGGAAAUGUCCAGGGACCAGCAUUCUGGGCAGAGGAAACAGCAGUGCAAAGGCCCUGGGGUAGAAAAGGGCCUGGGAGGGAGUGAAAGAAGGGGUUGCUGUACGAGGGCAGAGAGGUAACAAGAGGCCAGGUCUUCGGGGCCUUGCAGGCCACGGCAAGGGGUUGGCUUUUACUCCGAUGGGAAGCCGCUGGAGGGGUCUGAGCAGAGGCCUGGCAGACUGUGACCAUGACAGCUAUUUUUAGUCGCCAGUAUUUUUCCGGCGUCAAUGGGCUCAGUGUGUCUAACAGACUCAGAGGUUGGUUGAACCCGAGUCCAGCUCACCCUCCACGCCGGCCCUGUUGGUCUCUCCCACCCCCCCCCCCGAGUCCUCCCAGGGAGGCACUCCAAACCCUCACCCUGGCAGGUGGAGCCAGCGACACCACGCCUACUUCCUCCUUGCUCUCAGAGCCCCUGUCACCAACAGACCCCUUUGUCCCUUGCAGAAUUCCAGCUUCCCGUGACUGAACCUGACAUCAACAACAGGCUGGAGUCCUUGUGCCUCAGUAUGACCGAGCACGCCCUGGGAGACGGGGUUGACCGGACCUCCACAAUCUAGAGCUGAAGAUGAGAGUGACCGCGCUGGCCGUGAAAUCGACUGCUGCGGGUCCAGUGUUAGCGAUCUUCGGGGUUGCACGGGAUCCUCCAAGAUACUUUGCAGCCUUUUUUUUUCCCCUGGUCCCUCUCCCAUUUUGAUUUUGUGAGAGCGUAGGUCGUCCUUGUAAACAUAUCAGUAGACCUGGGAUUGGUUAUUUUGUCAUUUGUUUCUGUCGUGGGAUGGCUUGGUGUGGGGCAUGGGGAGGGAUCUCUAAGGGAAACAUAGGACUGGGAGUAGGUGGAGGGAAUGCAAGUGGCUUCUUGGAUGGAAAUGAGGGGGGGAAAAAAAGAGGGUACCGCUUGGAAAGAGAUGAGAGACUUGGGAGGGAGGCAGAAGCCCCAGCCCUUGGGAGCCUUCUUAGAAGCCUGCCUUCAGAGUCAGGCCCCAGGAGGAAGGCACGGAUGCCUGCGACCAAAGCACAACAGCGGCUCGCUCUUUUAUGUCUCCCCUGAUUGGAUUCCCUGAGGCCCCUGCUUGAAAUCCAGCCGCAGAAGAAGUCCACAUGGCAACGGGGGCAGGAAGGGAGAAAUUCCCUCCAACAAAAUUUCAGAUAAACUUUGAUUUGUGUAUUGUUUACAUAACAAUUUUAAAGGGUACAUAAUGUGUAAAGAGUUGGGAUAGAACUUUUCUUCAUACUAUGGUUUUUGUAAAGGAUUUGUUGCUAUGGAUUCAUUUUUUUCCUCUAUUUUUAUAAUAGCAGCAGGGUUGUCUUUUUAAAUGGCUGCCAAGCUCUGCUUCUCGGGAAGACGGAGCGGUCACGUAGGCCUGAGUUGUGUCUCCCACCUGUGGAUGGGAGAAGUGUGUAGGUGGAGUUGAGGAUGUGGCUGGAGUGGGCGGAGCGCUGGGAAGGGCGCCACCAUGUGAUCGGUUAUGGGAUUGCGCGCAGUCACCUAGAGAGUCUAAAGGAAUCCUGCGGCCCUCUCUACGCUGGAUUUGCUUCUCACGCGGAGAACCUCUUUCUCCCCACCCUACCAUGGGGUGUCAUCCUAUCCUAUCACUCCUGGCCUCGCUACACACACACACACACACACACACACACACACACACACACACACACACACACACACACACACGUGGGUACAAGUUUCACUGGAGGAGAAAAGGCAAGGAUGGAUAUUUUUCCCGAGCAAGAGGCCUUAAUACCCAGAUAGUAAGCUCAAAAGGCCGCUUUUGGGGGGUUGCUCGUAAGAACCCCAGCCUGGGGGCUGCAGCCCCUUGGCUUGCUCACCGCUGAGGAAGAGAAGGAGAAGAGCAACGUCCGGCAACAGUGUAUAAACGGUCAGUCAGCAAGUGGCAGAGAGAGCUGCGGGGAGACGUCCCAGGUGGGCAGUGGAAGAAGAUGUGGGAAACGUCGACUUCAUGAUGGAAAUGAUGAUUCUAUCACGUACGUCAGGGAUUUGCUGUGUUGUCGGCUGAUUUAUCCGCCCACACGGAAGGGAGACAAAACUACUACUUACAUGGUGAGAGAUUAACAAACUACGCUACCAAAAAGUAAUAGCUCUAUUUCUUAAGGGCAAGAAAGACUACGUUUGGAAUUUGAUGCAAUGGAGGGUAUUAGAGGAAAUCCAAGAGGAGCUGUGCUCUGCGCUGGAAAAUUGGGUUGUGUAAAUGAUGGUGUGACAGCUCAGCCAGAGGCGAGAUCAGGGAGAUGGUAGGAGGUCUGUUUAUUGAAUGGGUGUCUGGUACCAUUUUUGGGGUUUGUUUUUUAGCAAAGUCAGAGUCGAAAUUAAAGAGAUCAGACCAUGAAAAUCACUGCGUUUGCUUGGGGUUAUUUUUUAAAAUAAUGAAGUAAAUACAAUUUAAAAGGCCUUAAUGAAAUCCAAACAGCUUUCUUCUACCUUCAAGAUUGAAAAUGUACACCCAACACAGCCUUGGAUGUUGUGAAGCUUGCAAAGUCUUCUUAAGGUCUAAAAUGUGGGAACAUCUUAACCACAGAGAGCCUUUAGCAAGCAAAGAACACUUGAAUCCACAACAUCCUGCACUGCAUUUUUUUUUAAAAAGGGGGGCUCUCCAUGGGUGACUAUGUUCUAAAGAUGCAAAUUCAUUUGCAGAAAGAGGCAGCAUUUUUUAGUUGAUAUUUUUUAACCAAGUGCCAUUAACAUUCAUCCUCCACUCCCCUUUUCUAAGCAAGCUUAGGGUUACUGGGGGAAUGUAUUGGGAUGGACGAUCAUGUGUGAGCCGGGAAGGACAAGUCAAAGAUGUUGAAGGCCAAAGGCAAGACCAGAGGGUUUGCGAAGGUGUUUUUUGGAUGCCAAGAACGUUAAUGGAAGAAAAAAACAAUGGUAUAACACAUCUUGUGGAGAAAUUAAAAAGCAUUCAGAUCUGCUGCAAAACAUAUAUAUCCAUAAACACUCGGGUUGUUCAGAAAACAGAUUGUGAACACAAUCACAUUAGCAUGAAUCCUUUAAAAGGAAGAAGACCUUAAAGUAUGUGCAAAUCUGAAUUUCUAUUUAUUCCUUCACUGAAUAUAGAAACAAUGGUUAUCUGAUUAUUAGAGAUAUUAUUUUGGAUAUGUUACUUAUUAACUUGCUAUGGCUGGUAACCAUGAUAAAGUCUGUUAUUAAUAACAACAUAAUUCUUUUUUUAAAAGAAAAGCUUAUUUUUCAUUGACUGUGUAUAGAUUUAUCUACUUAGUUGUGUUUUGCUCUUAGUGUUUUAAUUUUUUUUUAAGUUGAGUGUUCUGAUAAAUUUUAGGAGACUGUCCUCACCUUGUUUUGAGUCCUGUGUUGACUGCAGGUAUACAGCUCAAUCUAAAAAUCCUAAGGCAAAAGAACUUUAUUUAUAAAAAAUAAAAAAACAAACAAACAGUUGCAUGCAUAUAAGGCUGUGAAGUCGGAUAUUUAGUAAUAAAGCGGCAGUGCCUUUUUUUGUAUUUACCCAUUGACCCCCAAAUGCAACUGUUUUAUAUUAAGUAAAUAGUAAACAUUAAAAAUCUCAGAGUAAAAUCUAUUUCACUACAUGGGUUUUCUUUCUCCCCUUGUUCUGAUUUAAGCAGUGUGUAUUUGACAUCUCUACACUGUCCCAGGGACAGUGGUGUUCUACGAUAUUGUUAUCAUGUAUGAUGUUUUAUUGGUGCUUUUUUUUCAUAGUGGUUUCUUACCAGAAACAGUAGGAAGACACACAUGAACUGUGUACAAGAAAUGAAACAUUGCUGCUGAUAUGUUUUGUUUUGUUUUCCACAUGCUUUUUGAGUUUCACUUUUUAAACCAAGGGCCAGCAAGCAAAAUAGUUGCCCUGAAGAGGGCGGCUGUUUGCACCAAGCUCUCCAAUGCUGUGUAUUGACGGUCCCUUUUUGGUACUCAGGAUUGGAGCUAGAGCUGGGCCCCCUCUCCCAUUCAUUUGAAGAGACACUGAGGGAAACAAGGUUUUCUUUUGAGGUGUCGUUGGCUGCCUUUUACGGAAUGGGAGCCUUCUCCGGGUGUUCUGUUCUUCUGCCCCUCUUGUAGCUACUGCCAGUGCAAGGUUUGUAGAUGCACGUUCCCCCUCUGGAACCGGGAUCUCCCUGAGAGCCUGGGCUGGGGGCUGAGCUGGGUUGAAUGCAUAGGCGCACAACCAGAAGGGCAGCGAGGGGAGAAAGCAGCCCCCAUCUCGGUGGCCCUCUGGGGAUGUCUUGGGCAGGUGGCCCCAGCUUGGGUGCAGGGAAGCAGCCUAAUCAAGGCGUUCACGUGCGCCUGUUACAAGAAGGCCCUGGGGAAGGAUAAUUUGCACAUGGGGCUGUGAUAACACUAAUGUUGAUUUUUUGUUUUACAAGUCAUCAGAGAUGUUUGCAAAGUGAGUUUUAUUUUUUUGUAAUUCCUUUAUCUUUACUUAAAGGUGAAUGUGUAUUCCUCUGGGAGGAAUAGGAAGAAAACAGGAAUGUUAAUAAUGUCAAACAGAAGACUUCCUCCCUUAUUAAUAUAUAACCCUCAUGUAUUUAUGCCUAAUGUAAGCUGACUUUUAAAAAGCUUUCUUUUGUUGCAUGCCCCGUGCAGGCAUCCCUAUUGUACAUGCAUGCCUUUCGUCCUGUUUUCCUGUAUAAAGUUAGUGAACAAAGAACUAUUUUUGCCUAGUUCAUGUUGCCAAGCAAUGCAUAUUUUUAAAAUUUGUCAUAUAUGGAAAUAGCAUGUUUGUUACAUGUAAAAGCUUUACUGAUAUACAGAUAUACUAAUGUUUGAAGAAGCUGUUCUUUGCAAGUGUACAGUUUUCAAAUGUUACCAGUGAAACACCCUUGUGGUUUAAACUUGCUACAAUGUAUUUAUUACUCAUUUCCUCCCAUGUAACUAAGAAUCAUGGCUAUAUUUCAUAUCAACGUUAUAUUGAAAGUGAAGGGAAAUGAUUAAUACAAGGUUUUGUAACACU